GGUCUCAGUUCGGACUGUAGGCUGCAACUCGCCUACACGAAGUUGGAAUUGCUAGUAAUCGUGGAUCAGCAUGCCACGGUGAAUACGUUCCCGGGUCUUGUACACACCGCCCGUCACACCAUGGGAGCUGGUAACACCCGAAGUCAGUAGUCUAACCGCAAGGAGGACGCUGCCGAAGGUGGGAUUAGCGACUGGGGUGAAGUCGUAACAAGGUAUC
rnacentral:rRNA from 1 species